rnacentral:rRNA from 1 species
GAGGCACUACGGUGCUGAAGCAACAAAUGCCCUGCUUCCAGGAAAAGCCUCUAAGCAUCAGGUAACAUCAAAUCGUACCCCAAACCGACACAGGUGGUCAGGUAGAGAAUACCAAGGCGCUUGAGAGAACUCGGGUGAAGGAACUAGGCAAAAUGGUGCCGUAACUUCGGGAGAAGGCACGCUGAUAUGUAGGUGAAGUCCCUCGCGGAUGGAGCUGAAAUCAGUCGAAGAUACCAGCUGGCUGCAACUGUUUAUUAAAAACACAGCACUGUGCAAACACGAAAGUGGACGUAUACGGUGUGACGCCUGCCCGGUGCCGGAAGGUUAAUUGAUGGGGUCAGCGCAAGCGAAGCUCUUGAUCGAAGCCCCGGUAAACGGCGGCCGUAACUAUAACGGUCCUAAGGUAGCGAAAUUCCUUGUCGGGUAAGUUCCGACCUGCACGAAUGGCGUAAUGAUGGCCAGGCUGUCUCCACCCGAGACUCAGUGAAAUUGAACUCGCUGUGAAGAUGCAGUGUACCCGCGGCAAGACGGAAAGACCCCGUGAACCUUUACUAUAGCUUGACACUGAACAUUGAGCCUUGAUGUGUAGGAUAGGUGGGAGGCUUUGAAGUGUGGACGCCAGUCUGCAUGGAGCCGACCUUGAAAUACCACCCUUUAAUGUUUGAUGUUCUAACGUGGACCCGUAAUCCGGGUUGCGGACAGUGUCUGGUGGGUAGUUUGACUGGGGCGGUCUCCUCCUAAAGAGUAACGGAGGAGCACGAAGGUUGGCUAAUCCUGGUCGGACAUCAGGAGGUUAGUGCAAUGGCAUAAGCCAGCUUGACUGCGAGCGUGACGGCGCGAGCAGGUGCGAAAGCAGGUCAUAGUGAUCCGGUGGUUCUGAAUGGAAGGGCCAUCGCUCAACGGAUAAAAGGUACUCCGGGGAUAACAGGCUGAUACCGCCCAAGAGUUCAUAUCGACGGCGGUGUUUGGCACCUCGAUGUCGGCUCAUCACAUCCUGGGGCUGAAGUAGGUCCCAAGGGUAUGGCUGUUCGCCAUUUAAAGUGGUACGCGAGCUGGGUUUAGAACGUCGUGAGACAGUUCGGUCCCUAUCUGCCGUGGGCGCUGGAGAACUGAGGGGGGCUGCUCCUAGUACGAGAGGACCGGAGUGGACGCAUCACUGGUGUUCGGGUUGUCAUGCCAAUGGCACUGCCCGGUAGCUAAAUGCGGAAGAGAUAAGUGCUGAAAGCAUCUAAGCACGAAACUUGCCCCGAGAUGAGUUCUCCCUGACUCCUUGAGAGUCCUGAAGGAACGUU